CGGCACGGGUGAGUAACACGUAUCCAACCUGCCGUCUACUCUUGGACAGCCUUCUGAAAGGAAGAUUAAUACAAGAUGGCAUCAUGAGUCCGCAUGUUCACAUGAUUAAAGGUAUUCCGGUAGACGACGGGGAUGCGUUCCAUUAGAUAGUAGGCGGGUAACGGCCCACCUAGUCUUCGAUGGAUAGGGGUUCUGAGAGGAAGGUCCCCCACAUUGGAACUGAGACACGGUCCAA
rnacentral:rRNA from 1 species